UACGUAGGGGGCAAGCGUUGUCCGGAAUCAUUGGGCGUAAAGAGCGUGUAGGCGGCCCGGUAAGUCCGCUGUAAAAGUCAAAGGCUCAACCUUUGAAUGUCAGUGGAUACUGCCGGGCUAGAGUCCGGAAGAGGCGAGUGGAACUCCUGGUGUAGCGGUGGAAUGCGCAGAUAUCAGGAGGAACACCAAUGGCGAAGGCAGCUCGCUGGGACGGUACUGACGCUGAGACGCGAAAGCGUGGGGAGCAAACAGG
rnacentral:rRNA from 1 species